AUACGUAGGGGACGAGCGUUGUCCGGAAUUACUGGGCGUAAAGGGCGCGCAGGCGGAUAUUUAAGUCAGCUGUAAAAGGCAUGAGCUCAACUCAUGUAUGCGGUUGAAACUGGGUAUCUAGAGUGCUGGAGAGGUAGGCGGAAUUCCCGGUGUAGCGGGGAAAUGCGUAGAUAUCGGGAAGAACACCAGUGGCGAAGGCGGCUUACUGGCCAGCAACUGACGCUGAGGCGCGAAAGCCAGGGGAGCGAACGGGAUUAGAUACCCCGGUAGUCCUGGCCGUAAACGAUGAAUGCUAGGUGUGGGUGUCGAGAGGCAUCCGUGCCGGAGUUAACGCGAUAAGCAUUCCGCCUGGGGAGUACGAUCGCAAGAUUGAAACUCAAAGGAAUUGGCGGGG
rnacentral:rRNA from 1 species